CCUACGGGGGGCAGCAGUGAGGAAUAUUGGUCAAUGGACGGGAGACUGAACCAGCCAAGCCGCGUGAGGGAUGAAGGUACAGAGUAUCGUAAACCUCUUUUGUCAGGGAACAAAGGCGGGGACGUGUCCCCGGAUGAGUGUACCUGAAGAAAAAGCAUCGGCUAACUCCGUACCAGCAGCCGCGGUAAUACGGAGGAUGCGAGCGUUAUCCGGAUUUAUUGGGUUUAAAGGGAGCGCAGGCGGUCUGUUAAG
rnacentral:rRNA from 1 species